rnacentral:rRNA from 1 species
UACGGAGGGUGCAAGCGUUGCUCGGAAUUAUUGGGCGUAAAGGGUAGGUAGGUGGUCUUAUUUGUCUGAGGUGAAAGCCUUGAGCUUAACUCGAGAAGUGCCUCAGAAACGGUGAGACUAGAGUCCUGGAGAGGGUCGUGGAAUUCCCGGUGUAGCGGUGAAAUGCGUAGAGAUCGGGAGGAACACCAGAGGCGAAAGCGGCGACCUGGACAGGUACUGACACUCAACUACGAAAGCGUGGGGAGCAAACAGG